UCAUAAUUUCUUCACUCUUUCAACAUCCAAACUCAACUCAAACAGUUCCAAUCUCAGAUCAUCAUCAUCAUCAAGCAAGCAAACUAGCUCUAGCCAGCAAAGAAAGAGACAGAACAGCAGAGAUGUGUUUUGUGUUUCUAUGUGAUGAAGAAGAGAGGGAGUUAGGCAGGCAACAAGCUUCAGGGUCAUGUCCACACUGUGGAGGUAAAGUACAGGCCGUGGAUUUUGAAAGCCGGUGGAGGUUCUGUUUCUUACCCAUUUGCUACAAGAAUAAAAGAAAAUAUUUAUGCACUCUAUGUUCCAGGAGGCUGGAGUUGUAUCAAUAUUAAAGACAAAGAAGUUGAUGUCUGAUUAUAAACCAAAAAAAUGCAGCAGCUAGCUUCACACCUUCCCUGGUGAUCGAUGAACAUUCCAAGAUGGCUGCUUCACUUGUAAAAUUUCUUCUUCUUCAUCUUUUUCAUUAAUAAUUUGUCUGUCUUUAAUUAUGUUGUGAAGGGAGGGAUUUCGUGGACCUGGCAAAAACAAUUUGUCGGUAGGAACUCUUGACAUUAUCAAUAAGAGUGUACAACUGUACAUUACGUAUGACUAUGUAUUUUAAGUAGUACGAGAUUAUUUUAUUCGAAUAGAAGAGAUGAAGAAAUUGAAAACAAAAAAAUUCUAUAUUUUUUAUUUAGAAAUUAUUUUAAAAAAUAUAAUCUAUUAAACACGUAUUUUCCUCGGUGAGGAAGAUGAAAAAUCUGAGAAGGGUUCUUCUUCUUCUUUGUUAUGGUACUGC
rnacentral:lncRNA from 1 species